AAGUCGUAACAAGGUUUCCGUAGGUGAAGGAUCAUUCGCACGUAUCCAACGUUAAACCUUCUUUGUACGAGUUAGCCCUGAUCACAACCUUUGCAUGAAAACGGGCCUGCGCUGAGGCCACCCCUAAUACUUGAACAACUGUUAACAAUGGAUAUCUUGGUUCUC
rnacentral:misc_RNA from 1 species